CGUAGGGGGCAAGCGUUGUCCGGAAUUAUUGGGCGUAAAGAGCUCGUAGGCGGUUCGGUAAGUCGGGUGUGAAACCCUCAGGCUCAACCUGGGGACGCCACCCGAUACUGCUGUGACUAGAGUCCAGUAGGGGAGUGUGGAAUUCCCGGUGUAGCGGUGAAAUGCGCAGAUAUCGGGGGGAACACCAGCGGCGAAGGCGGCACUCUGGGCUGGAACUGACGCUGAGGAGCGAAAGCGUGGGUAGCAAACAGGAUUAGAUACCCUGGUAGUCCACGCCGUAAACGUUGGGCACUAGGUGUGGGGACCCUCCAACGGUUUCCGUGCCGUAGCUAACGCAUUAAGUGCCCCGCCUGGGGAGUACGGCCGCAAGGCUA
rnacentral:rRNA from 1 species